rnacentral:rRNA from 1 species
UACGUAGGGGGCUAGCGUUGUCCGGAUUUAUUGGGCGUAAAGAGCGUGUAGGCGGCCGAGUAAGUCCGGUGUGAAAACUCGAGGCUUAACCUCGAGAUGUCAUCGGAAACUACUCGGCUAGAGUCCGGAAGAGGAGAGUGGAAUUCCUGGUGUAGCGGUGAAAUGCGCAGAUAUCAGGAAGAACACCUAUGGCGAAAGCAGCUCUCUGGGACGGUACUGACGCUGAGACGCGAAAGCGUGGGGAGCGAACAGG